AGCUCUCAAGGUGUAUAUCGCCAUUGCUGCGGUUAAAAAGCUCGUAGUUGGAUCUACGGUUUUCGGAGCUGGAUCACCCAAGUGGUGUAUUCUGGUCUCCAAGCCUCUAGUCGCUGGUCUACCCUUGAUUCCUUUAACCAGGCGUCCUGGGUGGCUAGUGAGUUUACUUUGAAAAAAUUAGAGUGCUCAAGACAGGCUUCUACGCCUGAAUAGUGGUGCAUGGAAUAAUAGAAUAGGACCUCGGUCCAUUUUAUUGGUUUUGGUCCCGAGAUAAUGGUUAAGAGGGACAGACGGGGGCAUUCGUAUCGCUGCGUGAGAGGUGAAAUUCUUGGACCGUAGCGAGACGAACUACUGCGAAAGCAUUUGCCAAGAAUGUCUUCA
rnacentral:rRNA from 1 species